rnacentral:lncRNA from 1 species
CUCUUCUCCCACAAACACACGUUCCAUACACUUCCAAUUUCCAAAACCCUCCUCCGCCAUUAUCGCCCCAAAGGCUAUUCUUCUUCGCAAGCUUAACAAUAUUUUGGAAAUUUUCUCCCCGUAGGUAAUUCUUCUUCGCAAAGGGUUUCUUUUUCAUUAGUUUGUUUCUAUAAGUUUUUUUAGCGAAUUUACACAAUUUUCUAAUAUAUCUUCCAUUUGUAUUGUUAAUCACCAGGAUUCUUUGAGUUUUCUCUCUAAUGUCGGAUGCAACGCCACUCAACAGACUACCCAGAGGUAUACCCACCAAAAUUCUCUAUUUUGAUGGGCCCUCUUUCUCGUUGCAACUGACUCAAGCGGAGAAAGAUUUUGCAGGUUUAUCAGCAUCCAAAGUUGAUGAAAGAAGAAGUAAAAUACACAAAGACAAGUUGAAAGAAGUCCAAGUUGAUGAAGCUUCAAAAGAAACCAAAAAUCAAGUUGGCUCAAAGAGGAA